rnacentral:rRNA from 1 species
CAUUACAACAGCCGUCGUUUCUUAGACCGAAAUACUUGGAUAACUGUGGUAAUUCUAGAGCUAAUACACGCAAUCGAGCUCCGCCCGUAAGGAACGAGCGCAUUUAUUAGAACCAAAAACCCAUCUGCACUUGUGCAGCCCGGUUGGUGACUCUGAAUAACUCAGCAGAUCGCUUCGGUCUCGUACCGGCGACAUAUCUUUCAAGUGUCUGCCUUAUCAACUUUCGAUGGUAGUUUAUGUGACUACCAUGGUUGUAACGGGUAACGGAGAAUUAGGGUUCGACUCCGGAGAGGGAGCCUGAGAAACGGCUACCACUUCUAAGGAAGGCAGCAGGCGCGCAAAUUACCCACUCUCAGUACGAGGAGGUAGUGACGAAAAAUAACGAGACGGGUCUCUAUCGAGAACCGUCAUCGGAAUGAGAACAAUCUAAACCCUUUAACGAGGACCUAGCGGAGGGCAAGUCUGGUGCCAGCAGCCGCGGUAAUUCCAGCUCCGCCAGUGUAUAUCUAUGCUGCUGCGGUUAAAAAGCUCGUAGUUGGAUCAGCGUGCAUGGUGAUGGUCCGCCCUAGUGGUGUGAACUGUCUACCUGCACUUAAUAGCUAGUUCACUCUUGGUGACCUUAACCGGUUGUCUUGAGCGUCUAGCAACUUUACUUUGAAAAAAUUAGAGUGCUUAAAACAAGCGUUUUGCUUGAAUACUGGUGCAUGGAAUAAUAGAAUAGGACCUUGGUUCUAUUUUGUUGGUUUUCGGGACACGAGGUAAUGAUUAAGAGGGACAGCCGGGGGCAUUCGUAUUGCGACGCUAGAGGUGAAAUUCUUGGAUCGUCGCAAGACGGACUACUGCGAAAGCAUUUGUCAAGAGUGUUUUCAUUAAUCAAGAACGAAAGUUAGAGGUUCGAAGGCGAU